UUAAUAGUAAAAUCUGCUCAAUGAAAUUUUAAUAGCCGCAAUUUCGUGCUAAGGUAGCAUAAUCAUUUGUCUUUUAAAUGGGGACUAGAACAAAAGAUUUAACAUUUCAAUUAAUUUUUAUUUAUAAUUAAUUAUAAUUAACUUAAAAGUUAAAAGGCUUUUAUAAAAAAAAAAGACGACAAGACCCUAUUGAACUUAACUUUAGUUUAACUGGGGCAGUAAAUUAAUUAUUAUUUUAAUAUUAAUUUUUUUAAAAAUAUCCAAUUAACUGAUAAUUUAGUUACCAUAGGGAUAACAGCGUAAUUAUAUUUAAGAGACCUAAUCAAAAAUCUAGAUUGCGACCUCGAUGUUGAAUUAAUAGUCUAAUUAAAGCAAAAUUUAAAAUAGAAAGUCUGUUCGACUUUUAAACAAUUACAUGAUUUGAGUUCAGACCGGUAUAAGCCAGGUCGGUUUCCAUCUUUUUUACAAAAUUUUUGUAGUACGAAAGGACCUAAAAAUAAAAUAUUAUUUAUAAUAUUGGCAGAUUAAUGCAUUAGAAUUAGAAUCUAAUUAUAU
rnacentral:rRNA from 1 species